AAAACACUUUCAUCACAAUGCAAAGAAUGAGCUCGGAGAUGAUACUUUGCAAAUGUCUAUUUUCCACAACGAGGCCCAGCCAUCACUCCGGCUGGUGCCUGGGAGAAUUCACUGGAGGUCCGACCGAACGGCCCCGGGAUCUAGAGUCCGGGGUCCAGAUUCCAGGGUCAAGAGUCCAGGGUCCAGGGUCAAGGGUCCAGGGUCAAGAGUCCAUGUCCAGAGUCCAGGUCCAGAGCCAAAAUCUUCCUGAGAUAUUUCAGCAAUAUCUAGAUUAAUUCAUAUUGUUUUUGUGGCCAUAUCAUUCCAUGGCUGAUACAGUGUAUACUAUGAAAAUAGGCUCGUGGUGUAGCCUGUAACUUGGACGGUUGCCUUGCCAACACAAACUGACUCACUUCUUGGAAUAUUUCAAUUUGCAACAAUAAAUCAGG
ensembl:lncRNA